AGUCAAGUAAUUAAGUGCAUGUGGUGGAUGCCUUGGCAGUCAGAGGCGAUGAAAGACGUGAUAGCCUGCGAAAAGCUCCGGGGAGGCGGCAAAUAUCCUUUGAUCCGGAGAUGUCUGAAUGGGGGAACCCACCUACUUUAAGGUAGGUAUUGCAACAUGAAUACAUAGUGUUGCAAGGCGAACGAGGGGAAGUGAAACAUCUCAGUACCCUUAGGAAAAGAAAUCAAUUGAGAUUCCCUCAGUAGCGGCGAGCGAACGGGGAUCAGCCCAUUAAGUUAUGUGUGUUUUAGUGGAACGCUCUGGGAAGUGCGAACGUAGAGGGUGAUAUUCCCGUACACGAAAGGGCACACAUAAUGAUGACGAGUAGGGCGAGGCACGUGAAACCUUGUCUGAAUAUGGGGGGACCAUCCUCCAAGGCUAAAUACUCCUGACUGACCGAUAGUGAACCAGUACCGUGAGGGAAAGGCGAAAAGAACCCCUGUGAGGGGAGUGAAAUAGAUCCUGAAACCGCAUGCAUACAAGCAGUGGGAGCACCUUCGUGGUGUGACUGCGUACCUUUUGUAUAAUGGGUCAGCGACUUAUAUUCAGUAGCGAGGUUAACCGUAUAGGGGAGCCGUAGAGAAAUCGAGUCUUAAUAGGGCGUUUAGUUGCUGGGUAUAGACCCGAAACCAGGCGAUCUAUCCAUGAGCAGGUUGAAGGUUGGGUAACACUAACUGGAGGACCGAACCCACUGUCGUUGAAAAGCCAGGGGAUGACUUGUGGAUAGGGGUGAAAGGCUAAUCAAGCCUGGUGAUAGCUGGUUCUCCCCGAAAGCUAUUUAGGUAGCGCCUCGGACGAAUACCAUAGGGGGUAGAGCACUGUUUCGGCUAGGGGGUCAUCCCGACUUACCAAACCGAUGCAAACUCCGAAUACCUAUGAGUACUAUCCGGGAGACAGACUGCGGGUGCUAACGUCCGUAGUCAAGAGGAAAACAAUCCAGACCGCCAGCUAAGGCCCCAAAAUCAUAGUUAAGUGGGAAACGAUGUGGGAAGGCAUAGACAGCUAGGAGGUUGGCUUAGAAGCAGCCACCCUUUAAAGAAAGCGUAAUAGCUCACUAGUCGAGUCGGCCUGCGCGGAAGAUGUAACGGGGCUAAAACUAUGUGCCGAAGCUGCGGAUGUAUACUUUGUAUACGUGGUAGGGGAGCGUUCUGUAAGCCGAUGAAGGUGUGUUGAGAAGCAUGCUGGAGGUAUCAGAAGUGCGAAUGCUGACGUGAGUAACGACAAAACGGGUGAAAAACCCGUUCGCCGAAAGACCAAGGGUUCCAGUCCAACGUUAAUCGGGGCUGGGUGAGUCGACCCCUAAGGCGAGGCCGAAAGGCGUAGUCGAUGGGAAAAUGGUUAAUAUUCCAUUACUUCUGUGUAAUGCGAUGAGAGGACGGAGAAGGCUAAAUCAGCCUGGCGUUGGUUGUCCAGGUGAAAGGAUGUAGGCAUGUAUCUUAGGCAAAUCCGGGGUACUCUAUGCUGAGAUCUGAUAGCAAGCUGUACUUGUACAGCGAAGUGGUUGAUGCCAUGCUUCCAGGAAAAGUCUCUAAGCUUCAGUUACACAGGAAUCGUACCCGAAACCGACACAGGUGGUCAGGUCGAGUAGACCAAGGCGCUUGAGAGAACUCUGCUGAAGGAACUAGGCAAAAUGGUACCGUAACUUCGGGAGAAGGUACGCUGUUGUUGGUGAUGGAACUCGCUUCCUGAGCUGACGACAGCCGCAGAAACCAGGCCGCUGCAACUGUUUAUUAAAAACAUAGCACUCUGCAAACACGAAAGUGGACGUAUAGGGUGUGAUGCCUGCCCGGUGCUGGAAGGUUAAUUGAUGGGGUUAGCGUAAGCGAAGCUCUUGAUCGAAGCCCCAGUAAACGGCGGCCGUAACUAUAACGGUCCUAAGGUAGCGAAAUUCCUUGUCGGGUAAGUUCCGACCUGCACGAAUGGCAUAAUGAUGGCGGCGCUGUCUCCAGCAGAGGCUCAGUGAAAUCGAAAUCGCUGUGAAGAUGCAGUGUACCCGCGGCUAGACGGAAAGACCCCGUGAACCUUUACUGCAGCUUGACACUGAACUUUGACCUUACUUGUGUAGGAUAGGUGGGAGGCUUUGAAGC
rnacentral:rRNA from 1 species